rnacentral:rRNA from 1 species
UAUAAGUCUCCUGAAGGAACGUUGAAGACGACGACGUUGAUAGGCCGGGUGUGUAAGCGCAGCGAUGCGUUGAGCUAACCGGUACUAAUGAACCGUGAGGCUUAACCUU